rnacentral:rRNA from 1 species
UGGAAUCUUAGGUAAAUCCGGGAUUCUAAGGCCGAGAGCUGAUGACGAGUUACCCUUUGGGUGACGAAGUGGUUGAUGCCAUGCUUCCAAGAAAAGCUUCUAAGCUUCAGGUAACCAGGAACCGUACCCCAAACCGACACAGGUGGUUGGGUAGAGAAUACCAAGGCGCUUGAGAGAACUCGGGUGAAGGAACUAGGCAAAAUGGCACCGUAACUUCGGGAGAAGGUGCGCCGGUGAGGGUGAAGCACUUGCUGCGUAAGCCCACGCCGGUCGAAGAUACCAGGCCGCUGCGACUGUUUAUUAAAAACACAGCACUCUGCAAACACGAAAGUGGACGUAUAGGGUGUGACGCCUGCCCGGUGCCGGAAGGUUAAUUGAUGGGGUUAGCUAACGCGAAGCUCUUGAUCGAAGCCCCGGUAAACGGCGGCCGUAACUAUAACGGUCCUAAGGUAGCGAAAUUCCUUGUCGGGUAAGUUCCGACCUGCACGAAUGGCGUAACGAUGGCGGCGCUGUCUCCACCCGAGACUCAGUGAAAUUGAAAUCGCUGUGAAGAUGCAGUGUAUCCGCGGCUAGACGGAAAGACCCCGUGAACCUUUACUAUAGCUUUGCACUGGACUUUGAAUUUGCUUGUGUAGGAUAGGUGGGAGGCUUUGAAGCGUGGACGCCAGUUCGCGUGGAGCCAUCCUUGAAAUACCACCCUGGCAACUUUGAGGUUCUAACUCAGGUCCGUUAUCCGGAUCGAGGACAGUGUAUGGUGGGUAGUUUGACUGGGGCGGUCUCCUCCUAAAGAGUAACGGAGGAGUACGAAGGUGCGCUCAGACCGGUCGGAAAUCGGUCGUAGAGUAUAAAGGCAAAAGCGCGCUUGACUGCGAGACAGACACGUCGAGCAGGUACGAAAGUAGGUCUUAGUGAUCCGGUGGUUCUGUAUGGAAGGGCCAUCGCUCAACGGAUAAAAGGUACUCCGGGGAUAACAGGCUGAUACCGCCCAAGAGUUCAUAUCGACGGCGGUGUUUGGCACCUCGAUGUCGGCUCAUCACAUCCUGGGGCUGAAGCCGGUCCCAAGGGUAUGGCUGUUCGCCAUUUAAAGUGGUACGCGAGCUGGGUUUAGAACGUCGUGAGACAGUUCGGUCCCUAUCUGCCGUGGACGUUUGAGAUUUGAGAGGGGCUGCUCCUAGUACGAGAGGACCGGAGUGGACGAACCUCUGGUGUUCCGGUUGUCACGCCAGUGGCAUUGCCGGGUAGCUAUGUUCGGAAAAGAUAACCGCUGAAAGCAUCUAAGCGGGAAACUUGCCUCAAGAUGAGAUCUCACUGGGACCUUGAGUCCCCUGAAGGGCCGUCGAAGACUACGACGUUGAUAGGCAGGGUGUGUAAGCGCUGUGAGGCGUUGAGCUAACCUGUACUAAUUGCCCGUGAGGCUUGACCAUA